GGGUGGUCAGUGGUACACAGGAGAGGAGGACUGCAGGAGAGGCCUCAUGGAGAAGGAUCUUCCAGCUGUCCGAUAGGGCUCUGGAUAGGAUGGUAAUUGCCUUCGUAUCCUUCAGAAACACCAGUGCUUUGUGUUCAAGGUCCAGAGGGUAGAAAAGGAAUGAAUCAGAGAUAGGGCUUUGCGAGCCCAGGGUGAGUAAAGCAGAGAUAACAGUGCUCUGGCUCUGGCCAAACUGAAUCCCAUAGUGCUGCCACGCCCCAUUCACUUUUCAUUUCUAUCUUUCAACUGCAGUCCAACGGCAUGGGAGUGUGGGGUCAUGCAGCCUCCCCGUGAGAAUUCCCUCCAGAUCCCUUUGUACUCUCUGCUGAGAUGAAGAGCGCAGAAGAUUGGCACACAGGGGUAUGAGGCUUACCAGUGAUGCCCGGGCCUCUUGCUUCCUUGGCAGCUACAUGACAUCUACUGACUCUGCCUACUACCUUCCCUGUUUGGAUUUCCUGCCUGGCUAAAUCCUGCCUGCCCAUUGGUCAAAACAGCUUUAUUCGUCAAUCAAUAAGAGAAACUUAUAUUCACAGUAUACAGAAGGACAUGCCCCAUCAGUGUGCCUAUCACAACUCCUCCAUUCUCAGGGUGGAAGAUUUCCCAAACCAGAAAAUCCCCUGUCUUCAUGUCCAACCUUCACUUUCAUUUUAUAAGUAAAGCCAGGAUGAGUUAUUUCUGGAAUCCUUGCACUGCUCAGUCAUUUAACAAUGUCCCACUCCUUCCUUACCUCCCACUAAGCAGAGAAAGAGACCUUCACAUCUUACAUGUCUAUACUUAGAAACAGCCUUUGCCUUAGCACCUGUUGCUUGUUACCAAUUGGGAAGACACUGUCAUCUGGGGUCUCUGAUUCCCUGCCAUUCAUAGUUUUGAUCGAAGAAAAUUCAAAAGGAUCAUAUUUGAUCAAAAUAAAAUAAAAAUAAUUGCAAUCCCC
rnacentral:lncRNA from 1 species